GCGCGUGCACGCACACACACACACAGUGAAUAUAUAUAUGAAUGUGUGUGUGUGUGUGUGUGUGUGUGU